GUCUGUGGCCAUGCCACCCUGAACAAGCCUGAUCCCGUCUGAUUUCGGAAGCUAAGCAGGGUCGGGCCUGAUUGGUACUUGGAUGGGAGACCACCUAGGAAGACCAGGUGCUGUAGGUG
rnacentral:rRNA from 1 species